GACAGAGGAGGCAAGCGUUAUCCGGAAUUAUUGGGCGUAAAGCGUCCGUAGGUGGUUUGGCAAGUCUGGGGUUAAAGCCCGGAGCCUAACUCCGGAUCGCCCCUGGAAACUGCCAGACUAGAGUAAGGUAGGGGUUGCGGGAAUUCCCGGUGUAGCGGUGAAAUGCGUAGAUAUCGGGAAGAACACCAGUGUCGAAAGCGCGCAACUGGGCCAUUACUGACACUGAGGGACGACAGCUAGGGGAGCUAAUGGG
rnacentral:rRNA from 1 species